ensembl:lncRNA
GCUGAUUAAACAAAAAUGUGGUUCAUGUGGUUACGCCUUCUGCAAACAGCACAGAUCAGCUUUCGUUUUGGAUGGUUGUGACACGUCGCAGCCUUUCACAGAGAGUAUCUGUACAACCAGUUCUGGAGUACUCGUAUACGGAGCGAUUCACACAUACUCCCUCACGGAAAUGCACUAACUGGGUAGUUUACUUGUUGAGAAGCCUAGGUUCACAAAACUCAAGACGUCCAAGCCGCGUGUGAGUCCCCCUGAGGAGAACGUGGAUCGGCCGUGGGUAAUUGCCACAGUGGUCCUGGGUGUGGUCCUGAGUGUGGUCCUGAGUGUGGUCCUGGUGGUUGGAGGGAUCAUCUUUUGGUGCCGGAGAUCCCGCAGACCAGAGGCCUCACCCGAAUCCCCAGAUGAGGAAAUUCAUCUUCAACCUCCAGUUAAUGGACGGUUCGAGUCCCGGCUGCCCGAUGUCCCAAGUCGAAGUGUCCCUGAGCAAGACACCUAACCCCUAAUUAUUACUGUAUGUCGCUUUGGAUAAAAGCUCCAGCUAAAUGACAUGUAAUGUGAUGUAAAAAUGUGUCUGCGGGCGAGAGGAGGUCGGUUCAACAAACCUCGUUGCUGCAUUAAAAUCAUUUUUAGUUUAUUUGUAAUUACUGUUCUUUGUGAAGAUAUUUCACUAAGUCGCUGUAUUAUUAUUUAAAUAUAGUUAAUAGCAAGUUCAGUUCAAUUUGUCUGUCCAAUCAUUUGUUAAUUAAAUUUCAACAAAUAAAGAAAUGUUUAAAUCAAGCCUGAUGUUGUAAAGAUCUCACUCCAUGCAGCAUAAAGCUUAUAAAACACUCGAUCGGUGUUUGAUGCUGCGAGAUGCAUGUAAAACAUGGUGUAACAUUUGUCUUGUGCUAAACCCGGGUCUCAAGUCUGUAUUUGACCGUGAUGUGCAGAGACCAACUCGGGGGGGAUCGGAGAUCCCGACAAUAUUCUAUCGACAUUAUCAAACAAGCCGCAAGUAAAUGUGAAUACGCGCAUUUACAAAAUGUACAUUUUAUACAAAUGAGGCCACAAAUGGGCUGUAGCCGAAAUACACAUUAAAGCAGUUCUAUCAGAGGGAUUUAGUAAACUGUGCCGUGAUACAAAGGAUCCACACACACACACACACACACACAUGCAGGGAUGAUAACUGUUCCCACUUGCAAAUGUCCUGCAGCCGAGGAUGCAAAGUGGCACCUCGCACACAACUUACUGUCUGACCUUAUUGUCCUCGACCACACUGCCUGAUCGUGUUUGUUAGACUCACAAUACGUUCAUGUGUCAAUUAUCUGAUGGUUAUAAAAGUACAGUAAAAUAAUUGAUGAAUCAGAGAUGGCCUAUAUUGGCAUCCAUCCCACGAUUAUUCUUCUCAACAUCUCUGCACUGAAAAAACAUGUGGAGUGCGAUUUACUUAAUAAAACUUAGGAAAGUUUUUGCACUUGUGGUGGUGGUGGUUGGUGUGGGGGGGUCUAAGGCCCCCCGUGCUCAGAUACUUGAAGACGUGCCGCUCCAGAUGCCGCUGCCACCCAGAUGUAUUGUAUAUUGUGUCGUCAUUACACCAGUGUUGGGAUGAUUUAACCCUCCUUUCGGUUUCGCCCGGCUUGUUGCUUCGCUUGCCGGCUGCUCACCGUGACUUUAAGACCGUCUGUCUGCUGGUGUGCUGUGGCCUGCUGAUGCCGCUCUAGUCCUCCUUUGGAGAAAUUUACUGUAGCACAAUUUUCUAUUCAAUCCGUUUUAGUACAAUUUAUUCAUCUCUGGAGUUUCUUCAAGUCUACCCAAAGAUUUUUUUAACAUCACAUUUCAACAUCAACAGCUGGCAGUUGUUGUACACCUGCUAUUAAAAAAUGCUUUUGAGUAAUUAUUAAUAAUCAUUUUGGAUAUUUAGUGCAAAUAAUAUUCAAUAAGACCAUUGUUAGCUAUACUUGAGCUUUUGUUACUUAUUCAAAACUGAAGACAGGAAGGAAGGAAAUACAAAUGUAGGGCUUUAAAUCUGCUCUGCUCUAAGCGUGAUGUUUAACAAAUGAAUGCACAGAAAAUGAACUGUCUUGUUAUUUAUUGAAAUAAUAAUACAUGUACACCAGCGACUUUGUGAAUCAUCUUAAAAAAGAACAGGAAUUACAAGUUACAAGUAAACAUUAUUUUAGCGUUAUUUUACGGUAAAAUACCACAAAUGGCGUUUGCACUAUGUUACUGUAAAAUGGAUUACUGUAUGUUACCAUAAACUUGAACGAAUUUGACUGUGAAUUAACUGCAAUUUACUGGCAGUUGACACUAGUAAUUUACUGUUUUAUUUACCGUGCCCUACCGUAAUUUACGGUAUGUUGUUGUAUAUUGGAUUACAGUUUGUUACCAUACGAUUACUGUUUUUGUGUUAUAAAUACCAGAAUGUCAAUGUCAAUUUUAUUUAUACAGCACUUUUAAAGGCCAGUGGCCAGCCAAAGUGCUUUACAGGAUAAAAAACAAUCAGCAUCAAUAAAACAAUACGAAGAAACGUAAAACAAACAAAAAAAAAAAAAAAAAAAAAAUGAACAGUAAAAG